rnacentral:rRNA from 1 species
CGUCAAAUCAUCAUGCCCCUUAUGACCUGGGCUACACACGUGCUACAAUGGAUGGUACAGAGGGAAGCCAACCGGCGACGGGAGCCAAUCCCAGAAAGCCUAUCGUAGUCCGGAUCGGAGUCUGCAACUCGACUCCGUGAAGUCGGAAUCGCUAGUAAUCGCAGAUCAGCAUUGCUGCGGUGAAUACGUUCCCGGGUCUU